CUAGUUGCAGGAAAACAAGCUCAGGGCUCCCACUGAUUCUGCAUUAUGGAGCUGUUUUUGUGCUGUUUGGCCCCUUUCUACCUGGAAUGGAACAAAGACUAAUGCCUUGUGGGAGCGGAUAAGUCAUAGACGCUGAAGAAGCAACUGCCAUUCUUCUGAAAUACCCAGAGACAGGCAAGA